rnacentral:rRNA from 1 species
UACAGGGGGGGCAAGCGUUGUUCGGAAUUACUGGGCGUAAAGGGUCUGUAGGUGGCUUGCUAAGUCAGACGUGAAAUCCCUCAGCUUAACUGGGGAACUGCGUCUGAUACUGGAUGGCUUGGAUUCGGGAGAGGAAUGCGGAAUUCCAGGUGUAGCGGUGAAAUGCGUAGAUAUCUGGAGGAACACCGGUGGCGAAGGCGGCAUUCUGGACCGAUAUUGACGCUGAGGAGCGAAAGCCAGGGGAGCAAACGGG